GACGAACGCUGGCGGCGUGCUUAACACAUGCAAGUCGAACGGAAAGGCCCCUUCGGGGGUGCUCGAGUGGCGAACGGGUGAGUAACACGUGGGUGAUCUGCCCUGCACUUUGGGAUAAGC
rnacentral:rRNA from 1 species